GAUGAACGCUAGCGGCAGGCUUAACACAUGCAAGUCGAGGGGCAACACGGGUAGCAAUACCUGGUGGCGACCGGCGCAAGGGUGCGUAACGCGUGAGCAACAUGCCCUAUACAGGGGGAUAAUCCAGGGAAACUUGGUCUAAUAUCCCAUAGUAUUUAGAGGUGGCAUCACCACUAAAUUAAAGCUUCGGUGGUAUAGGAUUGGCUCGCGUGACAUUAGCUGGAUGGUGGGGUAACGGCUCACCAUGGCGAUGAUGUCUAGGGGUUCUGAGAGGAAGACCCCCCACACUGGGACUGAGACACGGCCCAGACUCCUACGGGAGGCGGCAGUGAGGAAUAUUGGACAAUGGAUGGAAAUCUGAUCCAGCCAUGCCGCGUGCAGGAAGACGGCCCUAUGGGUUGUAAACUGCUUUUAUAUGGGAGCAAUAAGGUUUACGCGGUAGACCGAUGAGAGUACCAUAUGAAUAAGCAUCGGCUAACCCGUAGCC
rnacentral:rRNA from 1 species